GUUAUCUUUUAGUUCUAUAAAAUAUCAAUCUGAAGAUUGAGAUUAUCUUUUAGUUUUAUAAAAUACCGAUCAGAAGAUCGAGGUUAUCUUUCAAUUCUAUCAAAUAUCGAUCUGAAGGUCGAGGUUAUCUUUUAGUUCUAUCAAAUAUCGAUCUGAAGGUCGAGAUUAUCAUUCAGUUUAAUCAAUUAUCGAUUUGAAGGUCGAGGUUAUCUUUCAGUUCUAUAAAAUAUCAAUCUGAAGGUCGAGAUUAUCUUUUAGUUCUAUCAAAUACCAACCUGA
rnacentral:lncRNA from 1 species